rnacentral:rRNA from 1 species
GACGAACGCUGGCGGCGUGCUUAACACAUGCAAGUCGAACGGAAAGGCCCUGCUUGCAGGGUACUCGAGUGGCGAACGGGUGAGUAACACGUGGGUGAUCUGCCCUGCACUUCGGGAUAAGCCUGGGAAACUGGGUCUAAUACCGGAUAGGAGCCAUUUUUAUUGUGAUGUUUGGAAAGUUUUUUCGGUGUAGGAUGAGCUCGCGGCCUAUCAGCUUGUUGGUGGGGUAAUGGCCUACCAAGGCGGCGACGGGUAGCCGGCCUGAGAGGGUGGACGGCCACAUUGGGACUGAGAGAAGGCCCAGACUCCUACGGGAGGCAGAGGUGGGGAAUAUUGCACAAUGGGCGCAAGCCUGAUGCAGCGACGCCGCGUGGGGGAUGACGGCCUUCGGGUUGUAAACUCCUUUCGCUAGGGACGAAGCUUUUUGUGACGGUACCUAGAUAAGAAGCACCGGCUAACUACGUG